UAAGGAAUAUUGGUCAAUGGGCGAGAGCCUGAACCAGCCAUGCCGCGUGAAGGAAGACGGCCUUAUGGGUUGUAAACUUCUUUUAAGAGGGAAAAAACUGGGCUACGUGUAGCUCAUUGCUUGUACCUUUUGAAUAAGCGUCGGCUAACUCCGUGCCAGCAGCCGCGGUAAUACGGAGGAUGCGAGCGUUAUCCGGAUUCAUUGGGUUUAAAGGGUGCGCAGGCGGAUCAAUAAGUCAGUGGUGAAAUCCCAUAGCUCAACUAUGGAACUGCCAUUGAUACUGUUGGACUAGAGUAUGGAUGACGUAGGCGGAAUGCGACAUGUAGCGGUGAAAUGCUUAGAUAUGUCGCAGAACACCGAUUGCGAAGGCAGCUUACGAAGCCAUAACUGACGCUCAUGCACGAAAGCGUGGUGAUCAAACA
rnacentral:rRNA from 1 species